ensembl:lncRNA
GUCCCCUGACCUAAACGCGGUGGGGGAUCCAAAGCGCACCUGAAACAGAUCGACCCCCUUCCCCGCAGCGGUAGGGACAGGAAGCGGGAGCCUCGGGCGGCGUUAACAAGCGGAACGGGCGGAGGCGUGUCCAUCGACAGCGAUUUCAUUAGCGGCGCUGCUGGGCUGCGCUGGACGGGGAGGGGGCGGCGAGGAAGCGGGUCUGAGCCGAGGCUGAUUCAUUCACGUGUUGGGAGGGGAAGUGGGGCGGGGGGAGAAGCGAGGCCCAGAACUAGGGGCUCUCCCAGGAGGGAGCGGGGCGGGUGGAGUGUGAGCUGGAGGGGAACGCAGCCGCGCAACGAGCAGCCGCCCUGGCUAUAAAUCCAGGGGGUGAAGCCAAACGGAUCCAAGCCUUAGGACAGUCCUGCGCGCAGCCACCCAAGGGACUGAGGCUGCUGCCGCCUCCGCCGCCUUCUCGCAGCAGCAGCAAUAGUAGCUGCAACACACCCAGGAAGGUGAGACGCGCGUGGCUUCCCCAGGGUGGAGGUUCGUGGAUGCCGAGCUGCCCAGCCCGGCCGAGAGACAGAGAAGAGACCGAGAGAGAAGAGAGGGAGAAAUCCGCAGUUGCACAGCCGCUUCCAGCGCAUCCUGCCAAGCCUUGCAAGUUUGUCCUCUCGCCUUGUCUAAGGCACCAUUUAACAGAAUCAGUGACAGACCUACCGCAAGCCGACAACUAUCCAGCUUAUUUCUAGCAACUUUCCAAUUUAUUGCUAGCAACUAGUAGAGGCCAAGUCAAGCCAUAACUUUGACUUGACAAAUCAGUUAAGGGGAACAAACUGAACUGGCAAGACCUGUCCUAUUUUCCACAACUUUCAAAAUAAUUUCCCUGCUAGGUUUAUAUUGACUCUAAAUUGCCCCUCUGUUUCUGUUAGAUUCCUGCUUCCUUACAGAAUGAAUUUUGUUGGCAUCCGUGGAAGGAUCAGGAUUUAAUCAUAUUUAUGGUGCAAUCCUAGGCAUGUUGGCUUGGAAGUUGAAUGCCCCAUUGUAUUCACUAGGGCUUUAAUCCCUGGUGCGUGUGCAUAGGAUCGUAGCCGUAAUCCUGUGCAUCAUCAGCAACUUGGUACAAAGUCUGUAUCCUCAGUAAACAAGCAUACAAAACCUCAGAGCACAUUAAGUCAAAGUUUGUUCUUAUGUUAAUCUGGUAGCAAUGGUUACUGUUGCAGCAGGUCAGGUUUCUACUAUGUUGCACAGGGAACAUCUGGGACCAGAGACAGUUUGCAUGACAACUCCACAUUUCAGACAUUACCCAGUGUAGUGUGGGACCUGACCGUGCAAACAGUGAACUGCAAAGCAAGGACCAGCUGUCAGUCGUUGUGAAGUUGCUGUGAAGCCUGAGUAAUGCAACAGGAUGGUCUCUGGUACGUGUCAAGUAGCUUAAAUAUAAACACUGUGUGCUGUGUGAUACGUGCAAAUAAAUAUGCACCAAAUAUCAAGUGGCAUUCCUUUAUACCUCUGCCCUUAAUCCGAAAUUAAUAGUGUUGCACCACCACUACAGUUGGCAGCAGAAUAUGUCCCAUGACCUUUCGGAUGGAGCUGUGACGCUCCAACAAGAAGCUGACAUUUUAUUUUUAAGGCAAGGUUAAGGGAAAUGCCUGCAAAUAACAAUAAUCAUGCAGAGAUCAUUUUAGAAUUCUGAAAAUGUCACAGGCAAGAUGUCGAUCCCUCUUUAAGUGUGUAAAGUGGAAUGUGUGUGGACAUCAAAAGGGCUGAAAUGGGGAAGGGGUGAUGUAUCAGGUGAGGGCAAUGGCGGAGACUUCAUACACUUGGAGACCCACCAAAACUUCAAAUCUGGUCCUGGGGGAGAGAAUACCAAAGCAGGUCACAUGCAAGUCUCAGGCCUGGCCCAGGGGGAUGGGAGAAGAGUUGUGCUUGAGGGGGAGCACAGCGUACACCAGAAGCAACUCAUUCCUUUAUCCCACCACAGUUGGCAUAGAAGCAAAGGAAGGCUGAGUACUUUCUUCACCUCCCAAGCUACCAUGAGGUGAGGACAGGAAGGAGGGUGGGCUCGGGGACAAAAGGCCCUUUAGCAUUAGUCCAGUGACUCUGAGCCCCGUUCCCUCCAUCUCACCUGCAGUUGCUUAGUGGAUGAUUCCUUUUGACAAGUUAUCUGUGUGCCCAGAUGCCCUUUCUCCACCAAUGCAGCUGUUCUGAGGGAUACUAUCUCUUUAUGGCAGGGGUGGGGGGUCCCUUUUCAGCCUGGGUUGCGAUCCCUUGCGGAAAACCUUCUGGGACCUGUAUGUUAGCAGUAGGAGGACAUACAGGCACGGCUCCUUCCAAGCAGGCAAGAGGAAUCCUGAAAAUUCAUGGACGCAUUCCAGCCAGAUAAACUUAUUUGGAAGAGGGCACAGAGUAGAACUGGUGAGGAAGGGUGUGGCCUGGGGGGUCAGAGAGAGAGGGCUGGAUGGCCACAUUCCCUUCCCACCCCCCUGCUGUAUGUGGAAGGACCAUAACUUAGUGGUAGAGAAGCUACAAAGGUCCCAGAUUCAUUCCCUGGCAGAUGGUGGGAAUGAUAUCUGUCUACAUGCUGCUGCCAGUCCUAGUAGACAGUUCUAGGUUAAAUGGAAGAAACUAUACCAUCCAGCUCUGUCAUUACUUAGAGAGGCAGGACUGUGUUUUAAUCCAUCUUCAGGCAAUUGCUAAAUCAAUGCACAAUUGGGGGGGGGAAUGUGCCAGCUUCCCUCCUCCCCCUGUGUCACUAUUGUUGGAAAGUGAUUGACAGUUGGAGAAUGACUGACAGUUGGAGAGUAACUGACAGUUCCUCUGCUGCUGUUGGCUCCCUGCACAUUUUAGAACCCUGGAAAACCACGAUUCCAAAACUCAUGGGGAGACUUCUUGCUUC